GAAAAUGCAUGGAAAACCUUUGAAGAGCACCUAUGUAUACAAGUAGCCUCUCCAGAUCAUUCCAAAUUCCAACUGGUUCAGCAUUCUGUUUUCACUCCAUUCAGAGAAGGAGCUUAUGUUCAUGGAAGGAGAAAGAUUUCAACAGAAUGCUUACCAUAGGGCAGGUGGUAGAAGAAAGCCCUGUUGGGGGAGAGGUGACGGUGCAACUGAAGCAGGAGCAUGUGCCUAGUGGCCUCAGCCUAUGUGGGAAUUUUCUAUAUUCCGGUCAUUAUUAGAAGAAGCCGCUUAUGCUUCCUGUAGCGCUGAUGAGAGAAUCAUUUGAGUUUGGCAUGACAGACUGAGGCAUCAAAAGAAGAAAUGGUUUCAUUUACUCUGAUUUAGUAAGUCUCUUUUGUUAUGCCUCUCUUAUAGAUGCCUGUCUUUGGCUACCAAGGAAAACAUGCAGGGAGGGGAAACAGGGAGCAGAGCCUAAAGCUCAUGAAGAAUUUGCAUAUUGAAGAUGAGAAGAAAGAAAGAAAGAAAGAAAGAAAGAAAGAAAGAAAGAAAGAAA